UACAGAGGGGGCAAGCGUUGUUCGGAAUUACUGGGCGUAAAGGGCGCGUAGGCGGCCUGUUAAGUCGAACGUGAAAUCCCCGGGCUCAACCCGGGAACUGCGUCCGAUACUGGCAGGCUUGAAUUCGGGAGAGGGAUGCGGAAUUCCAGGUGUAGCGGUGAAAUGCGUAGAUAUCUGGAAGAACACCGGUGGCGAAGGCGGCGACCUGGUCCUUUACUGACGCUGAGGCGCGAAAGCGUGGGGAGCAAACAGG
rnacentral:rRNA from 1 species